UUACGGCCAUAUCAUGUUGAAACACCGGUUCACGUACGAUCACCAAAGUUAAGCAACAUCGAGUGUGCUCAAUACCUAGAUAGGUGACCGUUUGGGAAUAUCACGUGCCGUAAG